GGUGACACAGUGGCAUAGAAGGGGGUGACUAGUGACAGUGUGAGGGAGGGGGUGACUAGUGACAGAGUUAGGGAGGGGGUGACUAGUGACAGAGGAAGGGAUGGAGUGACUAGUGACAGUCACCACCUCCCUCACUCUGUCACUGUGUUACCCCCUCCCUCUGUCACUAGUCACCCCCUCCCUCAUUCUGUCACUAGUCCCUCCCUUACUAGUCAUCCCCCUCCCUCUGUCACUAGUCACCCCUCCCUCACUCUGUCACUAGUCACUCAUUCCCUCCCUCACUCUGUCACUUCCUCCCUCACUCUGU